rnacentral:rRNA from 1 species
CGAACGGGUGAGUAAUGCGUGACCAACCUGCCCCAUGCUCCAGAAUAGCUCUUGGAAACGGGUGGUAAUGCUGGAUGCUCCAACUUGACGCAUGUCUUGUUGGAAGUGUUUAGUGGCAUGGGAUGGGGUCGCGUCCUAUCAGCUUGUAGGGCGGGGUAAUGGCCCACCUAGGCUUCGACGGGUAACCGGCCUGAGAGGGCGGACGGCCACAUUGGGACUGAGAUACGGCCCAGACUCCUACGGGAGGCAGCAGAA